rnacentral:rRNA from 1 species
GCGGCAAAAGCUCAAAUUUGAAAUCCUGCGGGAAUUGUAAUUUGAAGGUUUCGUGGUCUGAGUCGGCCGCGCCCAAGUCCAUUGGAACAUGGCGCCUGGGAGGGUGACAGCCCCGUAUGGCGCACGCCGACUCUUUGUACACCGCGGCUCCGACGAGUCGAGUUGUUUGGGAAUGCAGCUCUAAGUGGGUGGUAAAUUCCAUCUAAAGCUAAAUAUUGGCGAGAGACCGAUAGCGAACAAGUACAGUGAUGGAAAGAUGAAAAGCACUUUGAAAAGAGAGUGAAACAGCACGUGAAAUUGUUGAAAGGGAAGGGCUUGCAAGCAGACACGGUUUUACCGGGCCAGCGUCGAAAAGGGGGGAGGAACAAGAACUCGAGAAUGUGGCGCGCACCUUCGGGCGCGCGUGUUAUAGCUCGUGUUGACGCCUCCAUCCCUUUUCGAGGCCUGCGAUUCUAGGACGCUGGCGUAAUGGUUGCAAGCCGCCCGUCUUGAAACACGGAC